CUCCUCUGGGCCUCAGUUUCCUCCCUGUGAAGUGAGGGACGGGGCUAAAGGCUGGUAUCCCUGAGCUGAGGCUCCGGAGUUCAGUCCAUCGCCACCAGCUCAGGCACGGAGAAGACAGUCGACCUACGCACAGGAGCCAGGGAAACCGUGUGACCCAAAGUUAACGGGGAGAAACCCAGAAAGUUCAGAAAGCCUCAGCCUUUCCUCAGAAAACCUGGAAGAUGCAAUGCCCUGGCUGAUUUGGACUUGUAUGCCUUACCUGUGAGCAAGUCAUCUCCUGGGAACACCUCUAAUUUUUAAGAUUCCAAUGAUGCCACCACCUGACAUGUUUUUAACCACACAGUCCCAGGAUCCAGGCCAUGGGAUGCUUGCUAAUGGGGCCUUGGGGAGCUGAAUUUAGAGGCUGAGUAUCCUCUGAUGGGGUCAGGGAGGAAAGGAUUUGGUUGCACCUCCAGCUUGCACAGGGCUCCCGACCAGCCCGGCCCAGCCUCCUCUGUACUAUGCUCUAGCUUAUGAGGCCUCCUGGUUCCACCCACCACCUGGCAGGGCCAACCUCUUUGUUCUCCUUGCCUCGUGGGGAUAAGGAGAACCUCACUAAGUCAUCCAGUUCGAGGAGACCCAGAUGUGGAGUCAGCCCCCAUUCUACUCUGCCACCCCACCCUCCCCACCUGGGGGAGUGACAAUCUCUGGGACCUGAACUCGGUGACUCCACCUAACCCCAAACUUCAAGAACAUCGGUGGCUGAGAGCCCAGGAUCUCCUUCCCACAAAGCCACAUGUUCUACUAGCCAGACUUGGGGUCUGAGGUUUGAGAGACAGUCGCUCUGCCCUCUCAGGUCACCACUCCAACUUUCCUCCAGCCGUCCCUUUUUCCUACCCACGGCCCUGUGCUUAUUCAGGCCCAAAGCCAGGGAGACCACAGGUCAGGAUCUCACAAGUAUUGCAAUCCUAGUGCAUUCUUGUCCUAUGUAAAAUUUUCGAUCUUUUCCUAAAACCGAUUUAUUUUCCGUUUUAUUAUCCUGAAAUGUAAUUGGUCUUCUCCUCUUUCAAGUAUAGCUAUUCACUAGCCCAUACUUAUAAACUUGUACCCUUCAGAAAGGAUUUCUUGUUCUCUUUCUUGUAUUUUCUCAUUUUACCUUGAAAGUGCAGCCUUAUCUUCUGUAUUCCCACAGGCAGUGCUGAGAACACCCAAUAAGGUGCACCCAACAGAAACAUUUUAUGCUGUUUGUCAGUUGCUUGUUUGGGGAGAAGGGGCCACAGAUGGGUAAAUUUUCUUGGCUUUUCUUGCUUAACUAC
rnacentral:lncRNA from 1 species